rnacentral:rRNA from 1 species
GAUUGAAGUCAGUCGUACCGAUGGACAUUCAGCCUUCUCGGGCAUGAUUAUGGUGGUUGUGGGUAGAACUCACAUUGUCAUAUUCGUGUUCCUGCAGUGUAUUUGUUCGUAUGGUAAGUUAACAUCAAUUUUGGACAUCAUAAAAUGACGGGAGGAAUGUGGCUUCAUCUUUUUGAAGUGUUUAUAGCCUCUGGUAGACGUGAUGACCGGGAUUGAGGAUUGCAACGGAUACCUUUCGGGGCUACCUGUCUGGCCUCUGAUGGUUGCUUUGGUGUCGAAAGCUUGCUUACGGUCAUCAAAGUUGAUUGUCAAAAGGUUAGAACAGGUUAAAUUCGUU